CAAGACUUGGUCCUAAUCUUAUUAUUAAUUUAAAUUAUAUUUACACAUGCAAGUUUCAGCACACCAGUGAGAAUGCCCCUAACCUCAAUAGAGGCCGGGGAGCCGGUAUCAGGCACAAGCCCAAAACACCUUGCUAAACCACACCUUCACAGGAAAUCAGCAGUGAUUAAUAUUGAAUAUUAGCGUAAUCUUGAUUCAGUAAUAACUUAUAGGGUCGGUAAAUCUCGUGCCAGCCACCGCGGUUAUACGAGAGACUCAAAUUAAUAUUUGCGGCCAAAAGGGCAGUUAAAGAUCUCAAAUAGCAUUAAAAAUUUUCAAGGCUGUUAUACGCAAUAGAAAAUUAUAAACACACAUGCUACCAACCUUGAAUCUGCUACAGUUAAGAAACAAACUGGGAUUAGAUACCCCACUAUGCCUAACCUUAAACAAGGAACACCCGCCAGAGCACUACGAGCAACAGCUUAAAACUCAAAGGACUUGGCGGUACUCUACACCCACCCAGAGGAGCCUGUUCUAUAAUCGAUACCCCCCGAUAAACCUCACCAUCCCUUGCUAAUACAGCCUAUAUACCACCGCCCUCAGCCUACCUUUAAAGGGGAGAGAAGUGAGCAAAAUAAUUUUAAAUAAAAAAGUCAGGUCAAGGUGUAGCAUAUGAGAAGGAAAGAAAUGGGCUACAUUUUCUAAACAGAAAAUACGGAAUGCUCAAUGAAACAGAGCAAAAAGGAGGAUUUGGAAGUAAAAAUAAAAAAGAGUGUUAUCUUAAACCAGGCAAUAGAGCACGCACACACCGCCCGUCACCCUCUUUAAACUCAAACAACCUAAAUAAAAAAACUACUGUAAAAGAAGAGGAAAGUCGUAACAUGGUAAGUCUACCGGAAGGUGGCCUUGGAUA
rnacentral:ncRNA from 1 species